rnacentral:tRNA from 1 species
GCUAUUUUGGCAGAAAAAUGUAAUGAUUUUAGAAAUCAUAAAUAUAUAAUUUAUUAUAUAUAUAGUA